rnacentral:rRNA from 1 species
ACGCUCGACACCUACGGGGAGGUAGCAGUGGGGGAUAUUGCACAAUGGGGGAAACCCUGAUGCAGCAACGCCGCGUGAAGGAAGAAGGUCUUCGGAUUGUAAACUUCUGUCCUCAGGGAAGAUAAUGACGGUACCUGAGGAGGAAGCUCCGGCUAACUACGUGCCAGCAGCCGGGUAAUCUGAGCGGGCUGGCAAGGC